GCCUAAGAAACAUUAAAACAGAAGAUAUAAACUAGGAAGGUGUACUCUUACACUGAAUCUGUUUUCUUCUAAUCAAAUGAAAUGAAAUGAAUUUCAGUUGCCUAAUGUUCUUAUCAGGCAAGACAGAGCAAAUAGAAACAAAAUAUAUUUCUCAUUUUUCAUCAGUGAUUCUCAGGAUGAUUAUUAUCUUUGACAGACAACAAGAAAGCCAGAGUGCCAAACAUCUUAUAAGAAUUGGAUAAACUUCUUUUCCAAAACUACUGUUUACUACUCUUAACAAGCUACUACUACAGGACAUUUUGAAGUUGUGCAGGUUUGAAGGAAAAAAAGAUAAAAAGAUUAAAAAUGGAAGGCUGCCAACAGGAUGAGAAACCAUAUGGGGAGACAGAAACUGGAAAAGGGGGAAAUGCUACCAGUUUGGACCGGUUCGCCCGAACAGGAAGCAGCAGCGGCACAUGGUUUGGAGAACUGGUAGCGGCGGCAGCCAGUUGUAAAUCCAGCUGCUGACAAGAGAGAAAGAAAGAAAUCCAUGGCAGUAUAACUCUAAAAAGUAAUUCUUAUUAGUUCAUGUGCAAGCAAAACAAUGUUUGUUUUCUUUUUACACUAUAUAGCCAAUAUAUUUUCCC